rnacentral:rRNA from 1 species
CAAUAGCGUAUAUUAAUGUUGUUGCAGUUAAAAAGCUCGUAGUUGGAUAUCUGUAGGAGCAGCCUAGUCUGUGAUUAACGUUACGGUACUGAUGGUUUGUUUCUAUAUAUUUGAGUGGAAGUAGCUGUUAUUAAGUUAAUGGUUGCGGAUGCUCAUCGUUUACUGUGAAAAAAUUAGAGUGUUCAAAGCAGACUUAGGUCAUUGGAUACAUUAGCAUGGAAUAAUAAGAUAGGGCCUUGGUGUCUGAUUUGUUGGUUUGCACGCCGAGGUAAUGAUUAAUAGGGAUAGUUGGGGGUAUUCGUAUUCUAUUGCUAGAGGUGAAAUUCUUAAAUUUAUGGAAGACGAACUACUGCGAAAGCAUUUACCAAGGAUGUUUUCAUUAA